rnacentral:pre_miRNA from 10 species
UUAGCAUUUGAGGUGAAGUUCUGUUAUACACUCAGGCUGUGGCUCUCUGAAAGUCAGUGCAUCACAGAACUUUGUCUCGAAAGCUUU